AUUAAACGCUGGCGGCAUGCCUUACACAUGCAAGUCGAACGGUAGCGCGGGGCAACCUGGCGACGAGUGGCGAACGGGUGAGUAAAGCAUCGGAACGUGCCCUGGAAUGGGGGAUAACGUAGCGAAAGUUACGCUAAUACCGCAUAUUCUGUGAGCAGGAAAGCAGGGGACCGCAAGGCCUUGCGCUCUUUGAGCGGCCGAUGUCAGAUUAGCUAGUUGGUGAGGUAAAGGCUUACCAAGGCGACGAUCUGUAGCGGGUCUGAGAGGAUGAUCCGCCACACUGGAACUGAGACACGGUCCAGACUCCUACGGGAGGCAGCAGUGGGGAAUUUUGGACAAUGGGCGCAAGCCUGAUCCAGCCAUGCCGCGUGAGUGAAGAAGGCCU
rnacentral:rRNA from 1 species